AAGAACCUAACCGACUUGAAUGCUGGCAAGUUAGACUUGAUACUCCGACAUGCAUUCACUUCUACUAAAGUGGGUGUAUGAAGCUCGGUGAAGACGGCGAAAAACAGACCUGUGAAGUGGUUAGUAAAGUAGUCGGAGUGCCAUAAA
rfam:Bacillus manliponensis strain JCM 15802 contig13, whole genome shotgun sequence.